AGGAUAAGUCUAGGCCUCUAGACAAGCUUCCUUGGAUAUCAGUGGUUAGUGGCUUUCCAGAUGUGUUUCCUGGGGAUUUACCAGGACUACCACCUGAUAGAGAGAUCAAAUUUUGCAUUGAUUUGAUUCCCGGGACUCAACCAGUUUCUACUACCCCUUAUCGCAUGGCACCUGCAGAGUUGGAUGAAUUGAAAAAGCAAUUGGGGUGAGCUAAUGGAUAAGGUACAUCAGGAACAGUACUUCCCCAUGGGGAGCUCCAGUUUUGUUUGCCAAGAAAUCUGAUGGAUCCUUGUGAUUGUGCGUCGAUUAUAAGAAAUUAAUUCAGAUGACAAUUAAGAACAAGUAUCCAUUGCCAAUGAUAUAUGAGUUGUUUGAUCAGCUCAUAUGUUCAAAGUUUUUUUUUUCCAAGAUUGACUUAAGCUCAGGCUAUCAUCAAUUGAGGAUUUAGGAAGAGGAUAUUCCUAAAACUAAUUUCAGAACACGUUAUGGACACUUUGAGUUUUUGGUGAUGCCAUUCGGGUUAACGAAUGUACCUGCAAUAUUUAUGGACCUUAUGAAUAGAAUCUUUAGACUCUAUUUGGAUAAGUUUGUGGUUGUUUUUAUUGAUGGAUUUUUGGUGUAUUCCAAGACACCUGAGGACCAUACAGAAUUUUAAACAGUUGUGUUGCAAACUCUGAGGGACCAUCAAUUAUAUGCUAAGAAAGAAAAAAUGUGACUUCUGGAGGACUGAGGUCAAAUUCUUAGGGCAUGUAAAAUAUCAAGAGGACAUUACUGUGAAUUCAUGCGAAGAUAGAUUCUAUCCUACAGUGGAAAAAAAAAUCAAAGAACGUUACAAAGAUUCGAAGUUUUCUUGGGUUAGUAGGUUACUAUCGUCGCUUUGUGGAGAAUUUUUUUCUCGAAUUGCUAUGCCUUUGAAAAAGCUAACAAGAAAGGAUUUAAAGUUCGUGUGGGAUGACAGUUGUGAAGAAGCUUUCAGAUAACUUAAGCCAAGAUUGACUACGGCGACUAUUCUCACUGUGCCUAAUAAGUGAUGAACCGCUUAUGGUAUUUACUGAUGCUUCUGGUACUGGUUUAGGUGGAGUUCUCAUGCCAAAUCGCAAGGUUGUUGCCUAUGUUUCACGCCAAUUGAAGAUACAUGAGAAGAACUACCCCACACAUGACUUGGAACUUGCAACAGUGAUUUUUUUUUGCCUUGAAAAUGUGGAGAUGUUACUUAUAUGGGGAAAAGUUUGAAUUAGAAUUUGAUCAUAAGAGUUUAAAGUAUCUCUUUACUCAAAGAGACUUGAAUUUGAGGCAAAGAAGAAGGGUCGAGUACAGGGCAAAUUAUGAUUUCACUUUGAAAUACCCUCAUGGAAAAGCAAAUGCGGUUGCUACACAGUGCUACUUAAACAAGUUAAGCAAUGUCAGUGGCAAGAUAAGAAAUUGAGACUUAUCUAGAAUCGAAUCCAAAAUAGUGAGCAGUUAGAUGGAUGGACAGUAAAUGCUGAAGGAUUCUUAUACCAUAAGGGAAGAUUAGUCAUUGCAAAUAUCCCUGAUCUUAGAGAGUCUGUUAUGAUUGAGGCUCAUAGGUCUAAGUUUGUUGUACAUUCUGGAAGCACAAAGAUGUACCAAGAUUUGAAAAGACAAUAUUGAUGGGAAGGUAUGAAGAGAGACGCGACUAACUUUGUAGCUAAGUGUAUGGUUUGCCAACAGGUUAAAGCUGAGCACCAGAGACCUUCAGGGUUGCUUCAACCUUUACCUAAACCAGAAUGGAAGUGGGAUGAGAUCACAAUGGACUUUGUGAUGGGAUUACCAUUAACACCAUUAAAACAUGACAUUGUCCGGUUGAUUUUCGAUCGUUUGACCAAAUCUGCUCAUUUCAUUCAAAUUAGGAAGAAUUGUAAGGUUUGUGAACUAGCUCGACUUCAUGUGGGUAAUAUACUUCGACUGCAUGGGUUGCCUUCCAGCAUUGUUUCUGAGAGAGAUCCUCGAUUUACAUCAAAGUUUUGGCGAGCAUUGCAAGAAGCAUUAGGAACUGAACUUAACUUGAGCACCGCUCACCACCCUUAGACAGAUGGACAGUCUGAGAGGACUAUCCAAACUUUGGAGGACAUGCUUCGUUCUUGUAUUUUGGAUUUUGGGGAUAGCUGGGGAGAACACUUGUCAUUGGUGGAAUCCACUUAUAAUAACAGCUACCAGGCCAGUAUAGGCAUGGCUCCUUAUGAUGCCUUGUAUGGGAGGCCAUGCAGAUCACAUUUGUGUUAGGCAGAACUAGAUUAGCAUGUCACAAUUGGAUCUCAAAUUGCUAGUACUACUGGGAAGACCAGAGAAAUUUUUUUUCUCCAAGAAAGGCUUAAGAUUGUUCAAAGUCGUCAGAAGAGUUAUGCCAAUCUCCUUCGAUGAGAAGUUCAGUUUGAGGUUGGUGACUAUGUCUUCUUGAAAGUUACUCCCAUGCUUGGUGUGGCGAGAUUUGGAGUGAAGGGUAAGCUAGCCCCGAGGUAUAUUGGACCUUUCGAGGUUAUCGAGAGGGAUGGGGAGGUCGCUUAUCGAUUGAACUUACCAGCGCGGUUGGGGCAUGUUCACAAUGUGUUCCAUGUGUCGAUGCUGAGGAAGUAUACUCCAGACCCAUCGCACAUCAUUGAGUAUGAGGCUAUCCCUCUUCAAGAGGACGUGACAUGUGAAGAACAACUUAUCAGAAUCUUAGCGAGAAAGUUAAAGGUGCUAAGGAAUAAAGAGAUUCAUGUAGUCAAGGUCUUAUGGAGAAACCAUAGAGAAGACGGGGCUACUUGGGAGUUAGAUUUGGAGUUGUACAAGGAGUAUCCUCAUUUGUUUAAUUUUCAGCUUGGGGUUGUACUUUGAAAAUUUCGGGACGAAAUUUCUUUAAGGAGAGAAGAAUGUGAAACCUGAGACUUUUCUCAGGUUGGAAAAGUAAAAAAUGGGAGGAAAAUAAAGAAAAAAAAAUUAAUUUAAUUAUAUAUUCAGUUUUUUUUUCUUUUCUUUUUCACUCUCUCCCCGACACUCUCCUCCUCUUCUUCUUCUUCUUCUUCUCUCGGCAUCCCAUGGCAAGGCACCAGACCCAACCACCAUCGGCCACCAUUUUUUACGCGCGGCUGCUCAUCGGUUUUGCCUUGCUUCGGCGACCUCAACUGCCAAGCAGCACCGCCCAACUCACCGUCAAUCGUUCGGAAUCGCCAAUCAAAGUUUUGGUCCAUCAACUUUGACUGUGUUUUUCUGCCAACUCUGACCACCUCUUGACGAGUGGUUGAUACCCUUGGAACCAGCGUGGAGAGAGGAACAAAACCCACUAAUUCAUUCCAGUCAACUCGUCGUUUUUCUCCGGCAAGAUUUUGGGUAUCUCCGCCCUUUGGAAGCAUUUUCCGGCAACACUGGAGGUCAUUUGGGCGAAGGAGCUGUACUUUCGUGAUGUACUCAUCGAGAGGAUCGUUUUGAUAUAUGCUAUGCAUAUAUUCGUCGACGUUUCCGGUACUGCCACCAACCGCUAUAGUGCACCGCUUGGGAAAAGCGUGAUAUUAAAAUCGGACUAAAUCAUUCUAAGACCAUCGAUAAGCUUAGGAGCGUUGCUUUGGGCUUGGAUUAAAUUCUAAGGAGGUAUCUAAAGAGGAGCCUAGUCACGCGAAUGUGGAAAAGUAUGAAUUAUUGCUGAAGCCAAUGUGUUUAGUGCCAUAGUCCUAUCUUUUGAACAUUGUAUGUAUUUAAUUUGGAACAUAUCGGUCUGUACAUCUAAAUUAGCUAUGUCCUAGUUAGAAAUGAGGAAUGGUGGAUGCUAAGUAUUAUUUUGGAUAUUUUAUGACUUAUUAAAUUGAACUGUUUGGUGACUACAUAACUGUUGGGAUAUUAUUAUUCUAUGUAUUAAGAUAAAUGAUCCUACUUUUAUCAGUAAUAUUUUCAUAUAUAAUUAUAGGAGUUAUUUCAUUGUUUCGACUUAUAAUUAUAGUAAUAUUUAAUAUAAAUUAAAGGAUCAUUUAUAAAUACUAUUUUCCACCGAGGGUCAAAGUUUGACCUUUGACCACCCAAGUUAUGGAUAUUACAAAUCUGCCACGGCCUAGGGCUCGGGCGUGACAGUCUUGAUCACAGAAAACAUAAGAGUUUUCCUACAGUGUUGUAACAAUUAAGAGUGCCCCAAAUAUAUAUAGAAAUAAAAGUAAUCUAGUGUCUCCCUUUUAAAAAUAAAAGUAAAGUCUUAAAACUCAUAUCAAAAUCACCAUGGAAAGAUGGAGAACUGGGCCCGUUUGGUUGAUGGUAAUGGGCCAGAAAGGAAUGGAAUGGAAUGUUAAUGGGCUGGAUUCUUUUGUUUGGUUGGAAAUAACAAGUUUGGAAAAGAAUUCCAUAGUAAUCCUUAUUCCUCCAAACUAACGGAAUAUCUUUUCCAAUUUUGAGUUAGUGGAAUUAUAAUUCUAUUCCAGCCCAUUAACAUCAUCUCUCUCCAGGGUCUUCGUCUUCUUCCCCAAAUCGCUCCACCUACUGAGGACUUGUUCCCCAACUCGCUCCACCGAUGAGUUCCUCAGCAAGCAACACACCCAGUCGAAGGUAGUUGCUCGUCCCAGUCGGAGGUCCGUGUUAGAGACACUCUUCUCUUCUUCCUCUGCUUUUCUAAUCUGUUGCAGAGCAUGGGGACUUCAAAAGGAAGAGGUCCAGGACAAAAUAAAAGAUUUUGGAGCGAAGAUGAAGACAAACACUUGGUUGAAGCACUUAUGGAACUGAAUAAUGAAGGGAAGUUUAAAGCUGAAGGAAAUUUCAGGCCAGGUCAUCUUAGAGCUCUUGAGAUGAAAUUAAAGGAGCGGAUGCCUGAAUGUGAUAUACAAGCUAAGCCACACAUUGAGUCUAGAAUGAAGACUUUGAAGACUCAUUUUCAAGUGGUUCAUGAAAUGUUGACUGGACGAUUUUGUAGCGGAUUUGGGUGGGACAACGACAGAAAAACUGUUACUGCAGAAAAGUCAGUGUGGGAAGCAUAUUUGCAGGUACUCAAAUAAUAGUAUUUGGUUUGUCAUUUUGCUUAUGAUGUUAAUGGAUCCAUAAGAAUGAUUGUUUGCUUAUGAUGUUGAUGGAUCCAUAACAAGGAUGGUUUGCUUAUUUAUUUGAAUCUGAUUUUUUUAUUUUGUAUAA